UUUUCUUCAUGUUUUUUCUGAUAACUUUUCCUGCAGUUUAUUUUUGAUUCAGCUGCACGGUUUUGUGUUGAAAUUGCAACUCGUCAGCGUGGUUGCUGUGUGUUGCAAAGAUGCAUUGCUCAUUCAAUUGGUGAACUUCGUGAUAAGUUGAUAACUGAAAUUUCCAAUCAUGGGCUUCUCCUUGCUCAAGAUCCCUUCGGAAAUUAUGUUGUUCAAUAUAUUAUAGAGCUGAAGAUCCCUUCUGUCACUGCCAACCUACUUGCUCAGUUCAAAGGCCGCUUUGUUCACCUAUCAAAGCAAAAAUUUAGCAGUCAUGUUGUGGAAAAAUGCAUCAAGCAUUUUGGAGAGAGUCGAUCACAAAUUGUCCAUGAAUUGCUGUCUGUGCCUCAUUUUGAACAGUUGCUGCUAGAUCCAUUUGCCAAUUAUAUCAUUCUGACAGUUACCAAGGGUUCCCUUCAUGCUGCACUGCUUGAAGCUGCUCGACCCCACUCUUUCUUACGAACUAGUCCAUAUUGUAAGCGGAUUUUCUCUCGAAAUCUGUCAAAAAAGUGAUGUAAAUUCGUGUGUGGUGGCAAGUGUUGUUGCUCUCCCAAACUCACUAACCUGUUCACUAUUCAGAAGUUUUACUAUUUCUUGGGGCACUGGAUGUAGAAUAGCCUUCAAAAUUUGAAGCUGGUCCUCAAGAGAACCUUUGAAACUUAGUAUCUACGGAUGAUCUCUCCAUGAUUUUGAAGAACGUAAACUGGAAGUUAUUGCUCCUGGUUGUUUAUUUUGCUUAUACAACUUAUAUGUACUGUUCUGUUGUCUUCUUGGUGUUGUUGUUGUCCUGUUGAUCUGAACUGUUAAUGUAUAAUGUUUCACCCUUUCUACUUUUAAUCUGGGUAAAUGCCGUGCGGUAGUUUAUUUCCUCUUCAA